CCAGGCCCAGGGCCCCGCCCCUACCCUGCCCGGGCCCAGCCUGACAACCCCUCCCCAGACCCAGCACUGGUCAGGGCCCUGGGCACAGGCCCCGCUACGAGCCGGGCUGACCUGGACGUACUGUGGCCUCGGGGCCUGGGCCUCCGACCGUCUGACACCACCAUGGGCGGCUCUGCAACCGCUGGUAGGGGGUCACCAGCUGGUUUCCUGCUUCCUGUCACACAGCCCAUCCUGGAGGAGGGCCCGGACCCUCCACACCUGGACCUGCUCACCGGAUGGCCUGUGUGUAAAAACACCCUCACACGUCCAUUAGGAAAAUGGUGCAAUGAACAGGUGGCUCAGAAUAAAGGAAAUAAAACACCCAACAGCACACACGAGGUUUCAUCGCACACUUAUUUCAAGAACAAAUCAGAACAAGAUAGAUAAUGGUUUGUGGUUCAACGGACAGAAAUGUGGCAACCAUGUUCUUGGCAAGGAUGUGGGGAAACGCACUCCUGGGGAUGCCCCUGGUAAACGGCAGUGCCUCUGGGACGUCCCCAUAUGGACACCUUCACACACUCAGACGGAAGACCCUGUGUGGAGCUGGAGGCAGAGAGCCAGGCGAUGCUCCUACAAGCCAAGGACACCGGAGACGGCCAGAAGACCCCCAGCAGCUGGGAGAGCAGGGAGCUCUGGAGGAUCCCACCUGCCAGCACCUCGACCUUGAACUUCUGGCCCCCGAGGGUGAGAGACCUUAACAGGACCACAGCCUCC
ensembl:lncRNA